rnacentral:rRNA from 1 species
CCUACGGGAGGCAGCAGUGGGGAAUAUUGGACAAUGGGGGGAACCCUGAUCCAGCCAUGCCGCGUGUGUGAAGAAGGCCCUCGGGUUGUAAAGCACUUUCAGUGAGGAAGAACGCCUGGUGGUUAAUACCCAUCAGGAAAGACAUCACUCACAGAAGAAGCACCGGCUAACUCCGUGCCAGCAGCCGCGGUAAUACGGAGGGUGCGAGCGUUAAUCGGAAUUACUGGGCGUAAAGCGCGCGUAGGUGGCUUGAUAAGCCGGUUGUGAAAGCCCCGGGCUCAACCUGGGAACGGCAUCCGGAACUGUCCAGCUAGAGUGCAGGAGAGGAAGGUAGAAUUCCCGGUGUAGCGGUGAAAUGCGUAGAGAUCGGGAGGAAUACCAGUGGCGAAGGCGGCCUUCUGGACUGACACUGACACUGAGGUGCGAAAGCGUGGGUAGCAAACAGGAUUAGAUACCCUAGUAGUC